rnacentral:rRNA from 1 species
UACGUGAGGGGCGAACGUUGUUCGGUGUCACUGGGCUUAAAGGGUGCGUAGGUGGUUGCGUAAGUAACGUGUGAAAUCCCUCGGCUUACCCGGGGAAUUGCGCGUUAUACUGCGUGACUUGAGGAUUUCAGGGGAAUGGGGAACUCCAGGUGUAGCGGUGAAAUGCGCAGAUAUCUGGGGGAAGGCCGGCGGCGAAAGCGGCGUGCUGGACCCCAACUGACGCUGAGGCGCGAAAGCCAGGGGAGCAAACGGG